rnacentral:rRNA from 1 species
GUGCCAGCCGCCGCGGUAAUACGGAGGAUGCGAGCGUUAUCCGGAUUUAUUGGGUUUAAAGGGUGCGUAGGCGGAUUAAUAAGUCAGUGGUGAAAACCUGCAGCUUAACUGUAGAACUGCCAUUGAUACUGUUAGUCUUGAGUACGGUCAAGGUAGGCGGAAUGUGUAAUGUAGCGGUGAAAUGCUUAGAUAUUACACAGAACACCGAUUGCGAAGGCAGCUUACUGGGCCAUUACUGACGCUGAGGCACGAAAGCGUGGGGAGCGAACAGGAUUAGAAACCCCCGUAGUCC